CCCUCAAAAGACGAACUCGACGGGCAUGGGUUGAGCUUUCGCGGCCGCUACCACUCGGUAUCUACCGUAGUCACAGCGGCGCCAGCGCCAAGAGGCAAAGGGAGUCUCCCGAAUGGUAUUGGUAUGUGUGUCGCUGUAGGAAGCCACAAGCAGUUGCAGUAGCACUGGGCUACUAGGUGUCAUUGGCCUCCCUUGCCGCCCUCAUUGGCCUCCCUGCUUCUCCCUCUCCCACAGAUCUUGGGCUUCUUGUUCGACCUCCACAACCACCUGCACAACCCAGGCAGCAACCUCGGAGAGGGACACAGCGGCUGCAGGCUUGCAGUUUCAUUUCAAGAGGCAAAAGCUUGUUUUGGAAUUCUCCGGCUGGGCAUGGUGUGUCAGCAAGGAUGCCCAACGAGGUUCUGUUUAUUCAGACCUGAGGGAUUCAGAGAAGCCAAGAAAUGUGCAGUUAAUUUCAGUUUCCUCUUGACUUCGUGUCCUCAUCAAGGUUUCAGAGCUCAGACAGGCGCCAUCGCCUGAAGCAAACAAGUUUCUAAGUUGGCAUCUCCUGUCCCUUGCAAAAAUUGUGCUGUCUCAACAUAAUAUAAUCUGGCCAUCUCAGUUUGUCUAUUCCUCCAUCUCUGUUUCUUCCAGAAAAAAAAAUACAAUAUGCAUCAAGACAGUUUCAGAUCAGUGGUUUGCAGAUCCCUUUCGAAGAGCCUCCCCCCCCAGAAGCAAAGAUGGCAGCUAUCCUGAAACAGUCCAAUGUGAUCUCCCUUAUGUUGUUACACUGCAACCUUCUGUUUAUCGAAACUACCAAGGCCGGGAACAGAGCACGUUGCAAAGCUACCGGGAGGAAAGAUCCAUGUCCUUCCAUGGGGACUAUCUCAUGCCGCCCUCGCUAUCCAAGCAUUUUGCCGAGGACCUCCUAAGAGACGCCAUGGAUCUCCAGGAGUCCCUUGCUAUGCUUGAGAAAUUCCAAACUGCAUCACAGAGCAUGAGAUUAUCCAACAAGAAGAGAAGACCAGAAACUGGUGAAAAAUCUCCAGAAAUAGAUACCAUAAUCCGUGAAGUCCUCCUGAGACCGUCAAAUGCUAAGCAGGCACUGCCAAGAACUGUUAACAAUGGAUUGCAUGGGCAGCUAAGCAAUUCUACUGAUGAGUUGAAGAAUGUGGUCAAGGAUAGUUUCUACAGGAAGAACCUCCCGUCAGUCUCCACCAAUAAUGACCAGGCCUCUUUGAGCCAGUCAGCACGGUACUUGCCAAACAAUUAUUUGAUGUCCAAUACUUCUCAGCAGAAGAAAGUGUCGCCAAGACCACUUCCAUCUUGUGCAGCAGUGCAACCUGACAAGUCUAAAGCCCCAAGUUUGGUAGCCAAGCUCAUGGGCCUUGAUGGAUUUCCCUCACAAAAAGACAACUCUAAAAUGAAGGACGAGAAGAUUAAGGCAGUAAGUUCACCAAGAGCACAGUUUGAUAUUGAGAUGCCCAGGUCACAAAGGCUACAGACACAAUUAUUUGGAGAGGGGUCUGGUUCUGAUGCGGAGAUGCCUAGGUCAGAAAAGCUAGCACCAGAACAUCACAAUGUUCGGACGUAUUAUACUAAUUCACAGAAGGGCAUCGCUCCUUCAUAUAAUACUGUAGUGACUAAUGAGACCAGACCGAUGAAAUCAAGUCACAGACAGAGAAACAUUGAGCAGGUUCGACCGAAAUCCCCAAAAGAAAUCAAGAUUUCUGCACCUACAAGCAGAAAGCAACAGAUCAAGGAGACAACUGAGGUCAAUGGGAGAACCAGGGAGAAACAAAAACCUAAUUCAGCUUCAUGGAACAGAGGAGGUAGGGAGGAUGCAAAGGCUAAAAUAGUAUCAGCAUCUCGUAAUACUAAAGUGGUGAAAAAUUCUGAUAAGAAAUUGGUAUCAAGUAGCAGUCGCUCUUGUGACUCAGUGAAGCCCGUCUUACACAGAACACAUAAUAAUUCCAGGGAGAAGACAGUAUCCAAGAGAAAUGUCAAGAGUUCAAUUAUUGAUGAGUUAGUGGCAUAUGAGAUACAGAGGGAGAUCUUUCAUGUACUAGAUCAAAUUGACGGUCCAUCCACUGAACAUAGUGCAACACCUAGCAAUGAAAGCUAUCCAAAUGCCGAUUGGGAGACAGAAUCUUCUGUGGACUAUACUCAGAAAGACUCUUGCGAAUCCAAUGAAGCUUCGCUAUCUACCAGCCAUGCUGAAAGAAUAGGUUCAACUGACGGAGAUGCUAUUCACCCAUCAUCAACAGACAUAACACCUAUAAAGGAAGCUGAGAUAAAAGAUGAGAUCAUUUUGCUUCUCCUAAGUGAUAAGUCUUUCCUGAGCAGAGCAGCCAAACGCAUUGGCAUCGAUUUGUAUGAGCAUCCAAGCAACCAACACGAUGGAAUUUCCAAGGUUGAAAUGAAGAACCAUAGGAUCUAUUUGGACACCACAGUGGAGCAGCUGGAACGAAAACAACAUCAGCAAAAUAGUCUGUGUUACACUGGAUUUCAGGGACAGAAAUGCAGAGCGACAGCAUAUUUGUCAUUGGGGGAAUUGCUAAGAGAGAUCAGCAAUGGGAUUAGAAAGCUGAAUGGCUAUUCCGACAGAGACGACACGGGUGGCAUGAAAGAUAGCCUGGACACGAAACUGGAGAGGGAUCUCAGGUUCUCGGAUGAGUUGAUCAAUGCUGUGUGGGACAUGGGGUGGCGGAAUUUUAUCUGCGCCGAAGAAACAGGGUGCUUCAUCAGCGAUGCUGUGGAGGACAUUCUGUCGUUGCUUAUUGAGGAAGCUGCUUUGGAGAUGUGCAUUCACUGACCUGAAAACAUACAGCAGAGAGGUGCUCAUAUCACCGUGAAGAUCUAACUUGUAACUUGAGACUGAACUAGUUGUGUUUUCUGUUAGGUUUCAAGUAAUUCCACCCGUGUAAGGAGCUAAGAGCCGGUGUAGUAGGCUGUCUGUAACUAGUUCCCAUUUUCUCAAGAAACAUAUUUGGUGAAGUUGUGUUUUC